AUUUAUAGACACAUCCUGUCUUCCAUGCAAAGCCCAGCACUGCUCAGCACAGAGGGACUUCCACGACUUUCUCUGAAUCGGCAACAAUGAAACACCUCGCUGCAUUUAUCCUGAUCGUCACCACAUCGCUGACCGUGCCCACACUCACUAAAGUGAUCGUGGAAGAAGGGAGCGCUGCCGUUUUGCCCUGUGCUCUCAGCAGCAAACAGGACAUCACUAAUGUCCUGUUUGACUGGAUGAAGGGUCGUCAGGAGGUGUUUAUGUAUGAUGCUGGUGACCAUUACAAUAAUGGACGACCAGGCCAAGAUAAGCAGUUCAAAGCUCGGGUCUCUCACCUGGAAGAAGAACUGAAACACGGUAACGCCUCCAUAAGGAUCAACAACACCAGGGUGUCUGACAGUGGGAACUACACGUGUUAUUUUCCACGGCUCAACCCCCCGAGAGUGUUCAGCGUGCAGCUCUUUGUCACAGCUGUGCAAGAAGUCGCCCAUUUUCCUGAAAGACUUCUAACUCUGAGCUCACUGCUUACUGUCUUUCUUCAGUACACACUGUCCCUCCUACAUGGACAGAUUAGCUGAAAACAUUCUUGGACCGAGUAUCACAUUUUUAUGUCUGAUUGUCUAAACUGGAGGCACCAAACCUAACACCACGCUCACCCUGCUAACUGACACCGCUACUGCAGGAGCCGCCUGUGUGGAGACAUUUAUAUGGCGCGUCUAUGACACCAUAUACUGCCAUACUUAAUGCCACAGAGGGACGGGUGACGCUGAGGUGUGAAGUUCCAGGCGUUUUCCCAAACCAAAGUUAGAGUGGCAGGACAGCGAUGGAAACGCGUUCUCC